GCACUUACCUGGCAGGGGAGAUACCAUGAUCAGGAAAGUGGUUUUUCCUAGGGUGAGGCUUAUCCAUUGCACUCCGGAUGUGCUGACUCCUGCGAUUUCCCCAAAUGUGGGAAAUUAGACUGCAUAAUUUGUGGCAGUGGAGGACUGUGUUUGCACUCUA
ensembl:snRNA U1 U1 spliceosomal RNA